GAUGAACGCUGGCGGCGUGCUUAACACAUGCAAGUCGAACGAAGCACUUAAGAUUGCUUCUUCGGAUGCCGUCUUUUGUGACUUAGUGGCGGACGGGUGAGUAACGCGUGGGUAACCUGCCUCACACAGGGGGAUAACAGUUAGAAAUGACUGCUAAUACCGCAUAACCCGAUAGGAUCGCAUGAUCCAGACGGAAAAGAUUUAUCGGUGUGAGAUGGACCCGCGUCUGAUUAGCUAGUUGGUGAGGUAACGGCCCACCAAGGCGACGAUCAGUAGCCGGGCUGGGAGGGGGAACGGCCACAUUGGGAAUGAGACACGGCCCAAACUCCUACGGGAGGCAGCAGUGGGGAAUAUUGCACAAUGGGGGAAACCCUGAUGCAGCGACGCCGCGUGAGUGAAGAAGUAUUUCGGUAUGUAAAGCUCUAUCAGCAGGGAAGAAAAUGACGGUACCUGACGAAGAAGCCCCGGCUAACUACGUG
rnacentral:rRNA from 1 species